AAGUCGUAACAAGGUUUCCGUAGGUGAACCUGCGGAAGGAUCAUUAACACUUUUGAAUCCUGAACUUGUUCUCCCAAAUUCACUUGGGCAGAACUCGUUCUUAACCCCACAAUUUGCGAACGAUGAUUUAUAUCGCGGAUAAUUUUAUAUUAUCUUCGAUAUAUUUCCCCUUUUUCUCUUUUUUAUUCCCCAUUUAUUUUUACCCCAAAUUAUCCAUUCGACUGAUAUGAACUUUAUCUUUUUCCUUAAAACGAAAAAGAUAAAACGAUUAAAAAAUGGUUAAAACAACUCUUAGCAACGGAUAUCUUGGCUCUC
rnacentral:misc_RNA from 1 species